GUAGGUUAUGGUAUUCCAGCACCAAUGUUUGUUAGGUGCACAAUUUUUGAACGCACUUUCUUUGUUGCUUUGCUUUUAAGCUUAUGGAGGUUUUUUUUGUUGUUAUGCUGGUGUAACGUUUCUUUCGUCUGUGUACCCCUGUUUAGGUUGCUCAUUCAGAAACUCUAACAUGCUACAGGGUGCAUUGCAUUGCAAGUACAGACAUGACAGUAAACAUCACAGUGUAUAGCCUUACAAUAAACUUGAGUUCCAUGUCGGAUAGGAUCGUUAUAAUUCUACCAACAACAUCUGAUGCCGGUGCUGACCAAGAAUCCAUACGACCUGCAUGAAAGAAUGUGUCUUUUAUCAGGAGCCGGAAAUUUAAAAUCAAUAACUCCCGUCAGGAGAUUUCCGAUGUCAACGUCUGAUGCGGAACUGGAAGAACACGAGACUUGACAGGCUACCAACUCAUUUGUUGAGCGUCCAUUAAGAGUCGAGUCUACUCCUAUCAUAACCCUUGACCAAAGGGAAGGAUU